AUUGAACGCUGGCGGCAUGCCUUACACAUGCAAGUCGAACGGUAACAGGUCUUCGGAUGCUGACGAGUGGCGAACGGGUGAGUAAUACAUCGGAACGUGCCCGAUCGUGGGGGAUAACGGAGCGAAAGCUUUGCUAAUACCGCAUACGAUCUACGGAUGAAAGCAGGGGACCGCAAGGCCUUGCGCGGACGGAGCGGCCGAUGGCAGAUUAGGUAGUUGGUGGGAUAAAAGCUUACCAAGCCGACGAUCUGUAGCUGGUCUGAGAGGACGACCAGCCACACUGGGACUGAGACACGGCCCAGACUCCUACGGGAGGCAGCAGUGGGGAAUUUUGGACAAUGGGCGAAAGCCUGAUCCAGCCAUGCCGCGUGCAGGAUGAAGGCCUUCGGGCUGUAAACUGCUUUUGUACGGAACGAAAAGACUCUUUCUAAUAAAGAGGGUCCAUGACGGUACCGUAAGAAUAAGCACCGGCUAACUACGUACCAGCAGCCGCCGUAAAAC
rnacentral:rRNA from 1 species